AGCCUUGUUCAACCGCCUUAGCAUGAAGCUGUUGCCCUCUUUUCAAAUCCCUCGUGUGACUGCAUUCCUUCACCGCAUCCAGCAACCCGCGGACGCUGAUCUUCCCAGCGUCCUUGGAUGAUCCCCAGGACCCGGAAUCUGUUCGAGAGCUUGAGGUCUUACCGCUGAUUGAAAGAAGAAGAGCAGCAUUACCCUCCUCCAAGCACUUAAGCUCGUUGAGCUGUAAUCACACUAUGAAAGAAUCAGAAACAGCGGCUGACAAGAAAGAUAGAUUCUUCCACUUACAUUCUGGCCUGUGCACUGCAC
rnacentral:lncRNA from 1 species